rnacentral:rRNA from 1 species
AAUGAACGCUGGCGGCAGGCCUAACAUAUGCAAGUCGAACGGAUCCUUCGGGAUUAGUGGCGGACGGGUGAGUAACGCGUGGGAACAUACCCUUUGGUACGGGAUAGCCUCGGGAAACUGGGAGUAAUACCGUAUGUGGUCGAGAGACGAAAGAUUUAUCGCCAAAGGAUUGGCCCGCGUUGGAUUAGGUAGUUGGUGGGGUAAUGGCCUACCAAGCCGACGAUCCAUAGCUGGUUUGAGAGGAUGAUCAGCCACACUGGGACUGAGACACGGCCCAGACUCCUACGGGAGGCAGCAGUGGGGAAUCUUAGACAAUGGGGGGAACCCUGAUCUAGCCAUGCCGCGUGAUCGAUGAAGGCCUUAGGGUUGUAAAGAUCUUUCAGGUGGGAAGAUGAUGACUGUACCACCAGAAGAAGCCCCGGCUAACUCCGUGCCAGCCGCCGCAGUAAUAC